AGAAAGCAUCAGUGAUUAGGAACGCCACUUCUUCGGCUUUUGCCGAUAUGACACCGAAAAUUACGAAUUUGAUCAGAUUUAGUCUAUUUUCCGGCGCGGCUUGAAAAAAGAAAGAGAGAAGGGUAUUUUUAAUGGUGGUUGGUGGCUGACGACUCGAUGAUAGCGAAUUCCGGCGAGAAAUUCACCGUUUUCCAGCGGGUAUCCACCAUUUCCGGCGAGGUGGAUGGCGAUUCCAGCGAUGAGUGGUUGAUUUUGCAACAUGGGGGAGGGGGAAGGCGCCAGAGAUGGCACUGUUGUUUUGUCGGCGAGCAGCGGCGGGAAAAGGGGAAGAGGGACGAUGGUUGACGGAGAACGGCGACCGGAUGGAGGCAGCAGUGACGCGAUGGCGUUUUCCGGUAGGUAGGGGUAGUUUGGCCGACGAUUUUUGCGAUUUUUCGACGGAAUAGCCAUCGAAAUAGUGACGGCAGUGGCAGAAAAGAUUGGAUCUGACGAGAAUUGGAGUUUUCCAAUCUUUGUAUUCAAAUUCAAAAACUAGCUCAGAUUACCCAAGUCUACAUAAACAAAUCACCAAUCUAUUCCCAACAAAUGUGAAACUUUUCACCCAGUCUAACAAAAGCACCUACAAUGAUACUCAGUAAGUGAAUCCAAACACUCUUACAACUGCAUCAAGUGUCAAAUGUCAAGGUGUAUUGAGAAGAGAAAUAUGUGGCACUUAAAUUUUUGCUCAAGAUUACAUCAACUACUAAUUAUCGUACAACAACAUUUUGGUAAAAAAAAAAAAAACAUUUUGGUUAAAAAAAAAAAAGCAUGGAACUUUGUAUAUAUACUAACAAAAGAAUAUGAGUGCUAAACUAAUUAGCAAAAUUAACAACAAAGAGGAGCGAAAAAAGAGAGAGGAAGAAGCUCUACCUUGUAAACUAAUAAUACAUAAAUAAAGAAAGCUUUCCUAGAAAAUUUACAUUAAGCCCAUCUAGUUUUGCGUUAAAUAGGAAAUGAAAGAAGGGAAGAUGAAAAGACUACAAUCACUUUUCAUCUGACCAACUUUCUAGAUGAUGGAAUGAAUAAUAAUAAAUAAAACAGAAAAGCGUCAAAAAUAUUCUUGAACUAUGUUAAAUGGAUUAAAAAUGCCUCUCAUUAAUUUCUUGGCUUAAAAAUAUCUCUCCAUUAAAUAUUUAGUUCAAAAAUAUCCUUUUUUCUAAUAAAAUUUCACCAAGCAUGCUACAUGUGUAAAAAAGACCACGUGGACAUGUCACAUGAUCGUCCACAUGUAAAAUUCACUCUUUAUUUGCAACCAUUUGGCUGUGAUUUGUUCUCUGUGGAUCCAUUCGUAAGAAUAAGUGUUUAGAACUAAAUUCUUGCGUCGUAUUUUUAGAAUAAUUCGAUGUGAAAAAUUAUUUUCUCCUUCCUUGGUUAGAAAUAACCUGUAUGAUGACUAUAUUUGGAUGUUAUGCUAUGUUUCACUUUUACCAUCAACAUAUGAGAUGAUCUUCUUUAAUCUGCUUAAUCCAGUUUUAAAUUUCUCCUCAUUUCAUUGAUAACAUACAAUUUUUCGUUGGAAUUGAUUGGACUGAAAAAUUGGACAGUUCUUUUUUCGAUUUUAAUGUGCCGAUUCUGUGUUAUUUAUUCAUUUUAUCUGAUCAAGCUUGUUAAAUUUCUUGUUGCUCUAUGUAAGAGUUGAAGAAAGUUCUCAAUAUGUAUACAAAAUAUAGAGUUGAAAAAAGUUCUCUUUGCAUUUUAUAGGACGGGUAGUUUACAUGAAAUGUACAGUCACUUCACUAUUAAGUACACAGUAACAUGAUAAUAGCUUGUGUUUUUUUAUCAAGUUAUCUGGCAUGAAGCACGGUGACCUGACAGUACUGUACCCAAACGUUGGUAGAUGACGGAUAGCAAGAUGUUCCAUUUUUCCCCUCUUAGGCCAAUAACUUUGGCUUGAAAAACAACAAUUUUGAUUUCUUUAUGGCUGGAUCGAUUUCUUUAUAUAAAUCAAACAUUCACAUGUUCUGGUUGUUGCUGCUACUUUUGAAUUUUCUGUUGUUUAAAAGUUUAGACAAAGAUAACUUCCUUAAUUCCAUCCACCUGCCUCUC
rnacentral:lncRNA from 1 species